rfam:Schistosoma mattheei strain Denwood, Zambia genome assembly, scaffold: SMTD_scaffold0010748
AGCCCUCCUAAUCCGUGCCGAGAUUUCGUCGGACACCACACUAUCAGGAUUGAUGAGACUCCCAAGAUAAAUAAAGUG